rnacentral:rRNA from 1 species
UACGAAGGGUGCAAGCGUUACUCGGAAUUACUGGGCGUAAAGCGUGCGUAGGUGGUUUGUUAAGUCUGAUGUGAAAGCCCUGGGCUCAACCUGGGAAUUGCAUUGGAUACUAGCAGGCUAGAGUGCGGUAGAGGUAGUGGCGAAUUCCCGGUGUAGCAGUGAAAUGCGCAGAUAUCAGGAGGAACACCCGUGGCGAAAGCGGCUCUCUGGGACGGUACUGACGCUGAGACGCGAAAGCGUGGGGAGCAAACAGG